UGGGAAGUUCACUGACCUUCACCGUGGCCCCUUCCUCAUUAGUUAAUCUGCUCAUCACAGGACGGAAUCACCAGAUGGACAGCUAGAGAGACACAGGCAAUCUCCUCGGGGUUUUAGAAUUAUGUUAUUGCCAUACAAAGGGAGCUGAAGCUUAUUUAGCUUAUGAUGUGUGCGAGACACUGGUUUCAGCAAUGCAUGUGUAUGAUUUUAUUUAACCCUCAUCACCAUCUUAUAAAGCAGGGCUCUCAGGACCCAUAUUUCAUCGCUGUGGAAACUGAAGGUCAGAGCUGCUCCCAACUUUCAGGUGGCCACACAGUGGUUCAGGAGCCAGAACUAGAGUCCACGCGGCCUGAUAGCAGAGCUGGGCCUCGCCGGCCAGGCGUCCCCCAGCCUCCAUCCCGCCCAGGCCCCUCCUCCUGGACACUGGUUACUGGACCACAGGAGUCUAGCUGCAAUUCUAGAAAAGUCCUUCCCCACUAUUUGGAACUUCCACUUAAAAUAAACUGCUCUAGAUGUCCUGGGUUGACACUGGCUGUUGGCAAUGAAGAAUCUGGUGCUAAGGAAUGUUAGAACAUGUGCUAACAAUCCCCCUGCGCAGAAUCUGGGCUUCAGGACGGUGGUUUCAGACUGAUACUGUUGUGUUAUAUAAAUAUACUGUGUUCUUCUUCUUUUUUUUUUAAAAGAAGAAAACUUUCUAUUUUGUAUUGGGGUAUAGCCAAUUAACGAUGUUGUGAUAGUUUCAGGUGAACACGAAGGGACUCAGCCAUACAUACACAUGUAUCUGUUCUCUCCCAAACUCCCCUCCCAUCCAGGCUGCCACAUAACACCGAGCAGGGUUCCCUGUGGUACACGGCAGGUCCGCGUUGGUUACCCAUUUAAAAUACAGCAGUGUGUACAUGCUGCAUCAUUACUCAGCCCUAAGUGUUUCUCUGGGCCUAAUGAAGGCAGUAUUUGCCUUGGAGAGACAUGAAUUAAUUAUGGCUCUGAGUCCUCUGAGCAGUCUCUUUUAAGAUGAUGCUGAGUCAUGAUGAAUGCCUCUUGGAGCUGAGCUCUCCCUCAUGUGAAGCUCCCAUGUUUAUAGAAAAAUUGAUUCAUUAAAUAUUAAAAUGGGAAGAGGGGAAAGAUUCCUAAAAGAAAGACUUGACUUAAAACUACACACAGAGAACACCCCAAGGCUUAGGAACAAUUAGUCCAAUGGUUACAGGAGUGAUUGGGUUCUGAUGUGAUCAUUGAAAACAUUGGGAAUUUUGUGAUUUGUGGAUUUCAAGUUUUUUAACUUUUUCAGAUGGGGAAGCUGAGAAUGUCCACACUGAAAGGUCUCGUUCUCAGGUUCACCUCUUUUAGUCACAGUGACCGAAUGGAAUUCCGAGUUAUACACAAAGGACUCCUUGGAGGAAAGGGUCAUUUUGACUCACUUGUUGCCUCGGGGUUCCUCAAACUCUCUUAUCAAAACAAACAAAGCUAUUUUAAAAUUAUCCAGUAACAAAGAGGAACUUGCAACUACAACUCGUUACUGUGUCUUAUUUUUUUCUACUCUGUGGAACAAGAAUUAAUGCCUCAUAUAUUUGAUCUUGAGAUCUUUGAGAUUUUUUUCCUAAGUACCUGUUCUACUUAUUUGACCCAGGACAGUAUUUGUACGCUUAAAAGUGUCUUCACAAGGGCGCCACGCUGUGCUGGUGUUGCUGUGCCCUAUCUUGGCUUUCUUUGCCCACUGAAGCCGAAUAAAAAAAUUAUGGAAACAGAGUUCGGAGGAAAGAAAAGGGUGGUUUUAAUACUCGGCCGACAGAGGCGGGACAUGCAGCAAGUUCGUGCCUCAACUGCCCCCCCUUCCCCCCUUCCCCCCUCACCCCUUACCAUGAGGAGGCUGGGGGAUUACAUAAGAUGAGGGCUCACAGUCAGGGGGAGGGGAUGAGGAAGAAAGGUGUAAGGACCUUAUAUUCUUCUCUUGUGUUGUUUAAAAAAAAAAGAUCAUGGGCUGAUGUCAGGUAACCCCAGUAACUGGGUCCAUUACACUGCUUCCCUCUUUCUGUAAUGCAAAUAGAGAAGAACUACCACUGGUGGUCUUUGAAGAGAGCUGGAAAGGUGAGCACCAGAUACAGGAUGUAAUUAACAUAGAGCUAAAGGACGGUAGCAAACUUAGUUACAGACAACAGAUGAGGAUCAGUUAAAGUAAAACGUAGAGUGAUCAGGCCUGCUCACUGUCCUCUUUAUUUUCUUUGUUUUCAGGAAAGAAAGACUCAUUCCUCUUUUUUCCUUUUCACUGCAACCCUUCAAGACAUGGGCUGCAUCCAUCAUUGAGGGUAGACAACAAACUCAUGGGCUUAGUCUUUGGCAACCUUUCUUCCCCCUCCCAUGUUGGUUAUGCUUAUAAAUCACAGCCAACAAAUACUGUGCAGAUACUAAUACAAUACAAGUCAGAUUAGCAUUGCCCCCAUUGGGGAGCUUUUGUUGAAGAAGCUCAGCACAGCGGGGCUGGGUCUGUCACAGACUGUCAACUUGAGCGUGUCUUUGGCAAUGGGCGCAUCAAGCUGAACAGUUUCCCAGUGAUCCUGGGGCUCGGCGCCAAGUGCUAACCAAGCCCUUUAGGCAUGUCUGAUUCCUGUGACCAUCCUCAUAACCUUUCAACGUCCUGUUCAUUCCCGUUAACCGGGCAAGGGCACUGACUGACAUCAGUGACCUUGCUCAAGACCACCGCUGGGACGGGCGGGUGCGGGCAGUGUGGCCCGAGCGCCAGCCACACGCUCUGCCGCUGCUCUCGAGGCCCUCCUCACACAGUAACGCACCUUUAAAUAUAACAAUAAUUCACAGAUAACGAGCUUGGGCUUUGGAGUCAGACUUUGGUUGGCAUCUAGCUGAGCCGCUUGCUGGCAAGGUGAGCCUUUGCUCGGUGUCUUCUUAUCUAUGAGGCAAGAAUAAGCCAACCCACUGAGCUACUGACUUAAUUAGAGAUAGGGCACUAACCAGCCAGCCUGGCACUUGGGCUUUUGUAGUCUUUUAGAAGGAGCUAUUAAUAACAAUUGAUUAAAUAUUAACAGCAAGACAUAAAAGCAUAGAGAAAAGUACAGCUAAUAACAAAGAAUUCUGGAAACCACCUCCGUGCACACAAAUAAUUAAGCCACAGAAUCUCCAUUCUUCCAGUCCACCAGCCUCUGUAUAUUACAAAGGCAGCAUCACUGGGCACCAGGCCUCUCAGUUGUGGGUGAGCAGGAGUGGUACCAUAUUGAUGGUCUCCUCUUCCUCCCAAGAUACAUCCUUUUUUUUUUUUUUUUUAAGUUCA
rnacentral:lncRNA from 1 species